ACAUAUCAAAUAUUGGUUGGAUCUAAUUGUUAUGAAUGAAUAGCUUAGGGCAAUGUCUGUAAUAUGAACUAGGAUAUAAAUGACCAUCUUUUGUGAUUAUUUAAACUAUCAAAACUCAAUCUAAUUCAUUAAAUAUUGGAACAGGAUGAAGACGAUGUCGUAUUUCUUUCAUAGCUGAGAUCUCAGGCAAUAUUUGAAUGCUCUUUAACGAUUAAAAGCUUAAGAAAUUGAAACCAUUCAUUGAAAUAAAUCAAUAUUUGACACGCGAGGAAAAGCGACCGGAAUUGUUAGGCCAGUUGCUGAAUAUACCGCUGGGAAAUCACGAAAAUGCAAAGUGCCUUUUCCAAGAUUCGUAGUUGUAGAAUAUAAAACCCAACUUGAACAUGGAACGAAAUAUUUUGUGAAGGUCGACGCUGGCGUGUGUUACGUACAUCUUUGCAUCCAUCAGGAUUACGAAGUCGGAGGUGGUCGGAUAAAGCUCGAGAAAAUGUUGGUUAAUCUAGACGAGGAUUAUCCCUUAGAGUAUUUUGAAUAAACUAGCAGCUGUUUAUCUAGAGAAUAUAGAAUACCUACUUAUUGUAAAGCAAAUACCUAUUGUGCUGUCAUUUAAAAAAAGAUAUAAGUUCUGUACUUAAUUUGCC